UUCCGGUUGAUCCCGCCGGAGGUCAUUGCUAUUGGAGUCCGAUUUAGCCAUGCUAGUUGCACGAGUUUAGACUCGUAGCAGAUAGCUCAGUAACACGUGGCCAAACUACCCUAUGGAUCCGAAUAACCUCGGGAAACUGAGGCUAAUUCGGAAUACCGUUCGCUACCUGGAGUGGUACGAACGCGAAACGCUCCGGCGCCAUAGGAUGUGGCUGCGGCCGAUUAGGUAGACGGUGGGGUAACGGCCCACCGUGCCUGUAAUCGGUACGGGUUGUGAGAGCAAGAGCCCGGAGACGGUAUCUGAGACAAGGUACCGGGCCCUACGGGGCGCAGCAGGCGCGAGACCUUUACACUGCACGCGAGUGCGAUAAGGGGACUCCAAGUGCGAGGGCAUAUAGUCCUCGCUUUUCACCACCGUAAGGUGGUGGUGGAAUAAGUGCUGGGCAAGACCGGUGCCAGCCGCCGCGGUAAUACCGGCAGCACGAGUGAUGACCGCUAUUAUUGGGCCUAAAGCGUCCGUAGCUGGCCACGCAAGUUCAUCGGGAAAUCCGCGCGCUUAACGCGCGGGCGUCCGGUGGAAACUGUGUGGCUUGGGACCGGAAGACCAGAGGGGUACGCCCGGGGUAGGAGUGAAAUCCCGUAAUCCUGGACGGACCACCGGUGGCGAAAGCGCCUCUGGAAGACGGAUCCGACGGUGAGGGACGAAAGCUCGGGUCACGAACCGGAUUAGAUACCCGGGUAGUCCGAGCUGUAAACGAUGUCUGCUAGGUGUGGCACAGGCUACGAGCCUGUGCUGUGCCGUAGGGAAGCCGUGAAGCAGACCGCCUGGGAAGUACGUCCGCAAGGAUGAAACUUAAAGGAAUUGGCGGGGGAGCACUACAACCGGAGGAGCCUGCGGUUUAAUUGGAUUCAACGCCGGG
rnacentral:rRNA from 1 species